UGACCCCAGGUCAGGUGGGACUACUCGCUGAAUUUAAGCAUAUCAAUAAGCGGAGGAAAAGAAACUUACUAGGAUUCCCCUAGUAACGGCGA
rnacentral:rRNA from 1 species